rnacentral:rRNA from 1 species
UCUUCCGCAAUGGACGAAAGUCUGACGGAGCAACGCCGCGUGAGUGAUGCAGGUUUUCGGAUCGUAAAACUCUGUUGUUAGGGAAGAAAAAGUACCGUUCGAAUAGGGCGGCACCUUGACGGUACCUAACUAGCAAGCCACGGCCAACUACGUGCCAGCAGCCGCGGUACUACGUAGGUGGCAAGCGUUGCUCGGAAUUAUUGGGCGUAAAGCGCGCGCAGGCGGUUUCUUAAGUCUGAUGUGAAAGCCCCCGGCUCAACCGGGGAGGGUCAUUGGAAACUGGGGAACUUGAGUGCAGAAGAGGAGAGUGGAAUUCCACGUGUAGCGGUGAAAUGCGUAGAGAUGUGGAGGAACACCAGUGGCGAAGGCGACUCUCUGGUCUGUAACUGACGCUGAGGCGCGAAAGCGUGGGGAGCGAACAG